CAACCCAUGCAGCAAUGUAUGGCUGAAUCUUGAGAAGUCAGCAGAAGUCAUAGUACUCAUUGGAAGAUGAGGAAGGAC
rfam:Shinella sp. DD12 SHLA_152c, whole genome shotgun sequence.